rnacentral:rRNA from 1 species
GAUGAACGCUGGCGGCGUGCUUAACACAUGCAAGUCGAGCGGGCAAUUUAUCUAGCACUGAUUACUUCAAAUGGAAAUCAUAAGUGUAAUCAUGAAUUUCUACCUUUAAUAAAGAAAAAAGAAAUUCAUGUACGCAAAUAGUGAUAACACAUUUUAGUGAAGUGAUGAGUGCUGGAUAAAUUGCUAGCGGCGGACGGGUGCGUAACACGUGGGUAACCUGCCCCUAUCACUGGGAUAACACACUGAAAAGUGUGCUAAUACCAGAUAACAUAAGCUUUUGGCAUCAUUAGCUUAUCAAAGAAUUUCGGAUAGGGAUGGGCCCGCGUCUGAUUAGCUAGUUGGUGAGGUAACGGCUCACCAAGGCAACGAUCAGUAGCCGACCUGAGAGGGUGAUCGGCCACACUGGAACUGAGACACGGUCCAGACUCCUACGGGAGGCAGCAGUGGGGAAUAUUGCAC